GUACAAACCCAAACGGGUCCUACUAAGAGGACGAGGGAAGGCAUUUGAGCGGUGCCUGAAGCUUUACCUGUUAACUCACGCAAGGGACCCAGUGGGCAAACAUCCAGUGAUGGGAACCGAAACUACCCCCUCUAGCAAUAAGGGCUGCCCUCACAUCAGCAAGACCCUGCGUGACUGACCCCAAGACAAUAAUCAACCUGACCUUUUGCUGCUCUGCUGCAGAGUACCCACCAAUCUUUGUUGUGUUUUCCCUAUAUAAACUUAGACAUAUUCUCAGCACCUUGGAGACAGUUCUUAGGCCAUUAGCCCAUGGUAUUCCUGGUACUGGCUUCACUGAAAUAAAUUCCUUUCUUGUUUCACCACC